GCUAGAUGGGUUCAUGAGGUGGAAGAAACCAGCAGUAUGAAGAUUUGGUGGCUGACUCAGUCAAGGCCAGGGUGCGUAACACACAGAGGUGGUUUUAUUGGCUGGAGUUUCUCUCCUCCCCGGAAGUUGCCUGGUACUUGGACACUUGAGGUCAUGAUUCCCAGACAGUGAUACAUUUUUACAUUGUGCCUUCGUGGCUUUGACUGCACAUUUGUCCCUAAAUUCCCAUUGCUGCCUUUACCCAUUUUCCACACGACUGCCAAAUGUAUUAAUUAUCUUUUUUUUCUCUUUUCUUCCAUCCUAACUUCAUGACAUUUUCCUCUCCAUUUAGUGUGUACCGGUUCUCUGGUUUACUUGUUCUUGAGAGACUAAAAUAUAACUUCUUUAAAAAUUUGUGCAAAAUACAUAAAAGUUUAUUCACUAAAGUAAGAAGUGUCAGGAAUUCGUAGUGGAUUCAAAGUGAAUUUCACAUUUAUGGUUAAAAUAUUUUUAAAUGAACUAUAAAAACCCUCCCAGUGAGCUAUGUAUCUGUGUUCAAGCCUUUUUUGCCCUAACAUUUGAAAAUUUAAUGGCCUCAUUUUCAUGCUAUGCUGGUAAAGAAAACAUUUUGGAUGGGAUUUUCAUUCAGAAGAAUUUUGUUCAUCUCGCCAUUAGCUUACUCUUCCAUUUUGCCAUUCAUAGGUGCGGAAUGAGGACAAAUGGAAGAAUCGCCUGAUUUUAAUCCGAAUUGUGAUUCUUCUGAAAAAUGACUGCCCAAAUCUAUUAACAACUAGAUGAUCAUUAUGGCUAUAUUAUCCUGACAGGAUGCCAUGGUCCACUGCUGCUUUCACGAUCUCCAUGCUGACAGUCUUUUUCUAUUUACACUGACCCCCAUUUAGCAUUUCCUACUAUGUAAAUUGAAUUAAAAAGCCUGUUUUCUGAUUAAUUGCCAUAGCAACUGAACCAGCACUACAAAAUGUUCUCUUUUCUUAUGUACACUUCUCCUAUGAAGCUUUAAGUGAGUUGCCUCUAAGAGUUUAUUGACUUAAUAGCAAAAUGUCAGUAAUUAAAAACAUAAUUGCAUGUAUUUACAAAUAAAGCUCGAGCCAAGGUGUAACUGCAAUUUAGCAAUUUGGUUUUUGAAUUCCCUACAAUUUGCUAUUUAGUGAAAAAAAU